rnacentral:rRNA from 1 species
UACGUAGGGUGCGAGCGUUGUCCGGCAUUAUUGGGCGUAAAGGGCUCGUCGGCGGUCUGUUGCGUCGGGAGUGAAAACUCAGGGCUUAACCCUGAGCCUGCUUCCGAUACGGGCAGACUAGAGGUAUGCAGGGGAGAACGGAAUUCCUGGUGUAGCGGUGAAAUGCGCAGAUAUCAGGAGGAACACCGGUGGCGAAGGCGGUUCUCUGGGCAUUACCUGACGCUGAGGAGCGAAAGUGUGGGGAGCGAACAGG